rnacentral:rRNA from 1 species
CCUACGGGUGGCUGCAGUGGGGAAUAUUGGACAAUGGGCGCAAGCCUGAUCCAGCAAUGCCGCGUGUGUGAAGAAGGCCUUCGGGUUGUAAAGCACUUUUAUCAGGAGCGAAAUCUGCAUGCUUAAUACGUGUGCAGUCUGACGGUACCUGAGGAAUAAGCACCGGCUAACUUCGUGCCAGCAGCCGCGGUAAUACGAAGGGUGCAAGCGUUGAUCGGAAUUACCGGGCGUAGUGCGUGCGGUCGCGGGUGAAAUCCCCGGGCUCAACCUGGGAAGGGCGAUGGAUACUGGCGAGCUAGAGGGUGUCAGAGGAUGGUGGAAUUCCCGGUGUAGCGGUGAAAUGCGUAGAGAUCGGGAGGAACAUCAGUGGCGAAGGCGGCCAUCUGGGACAACACUGACGCUGAAGCACGAAAGCGUGGGGAGCAAACAGGAUUAGAUACCCCUGUAGUC